GAUGAAGAACGCAGUGAAAUGCGAUACGUAAUGUGAAUUGCAAAUUCAGUGAAUCAUCGAGUCUUUGAACGCACAUUGCGCCCCCUGGUAUUCCGGGGGGCAUGCCUGUCCGAGCGUCAUUGCUGCCCUCAAGCACGGCUUGUGUGUUGGGCCCCGUCCUCCGAUCCCGGGGGACGGGCCCGAAAGGCAGCGGCGGCACCGCGUCCGGUCCUCGAGCAUAUGGGGCUUUGUCACCCGCUCUGUAGGCCCGGCCGGCGCUUGCCGAUCAACCCAAAUUUUUUAUCCAGGUUGACCUCGGAUCAGGUAGGGAUACCCGCUGAACUUAAGCAUAUCAAUAAGCGGAGGA
rnacentral:misc_RNA from 1 species